rnacentral:lncRNA from 1 species
GCGAGGGCCCUGUGAGGAGGGGCACCUGCCACUAGAAGCGGCCUCUGGGACGUCGCGCUGAGCCCUGCUUUGGAGUCAGAGGGGCUUUCCGCCUCGGUGAACUCGAGAGUAGCAACUCUCCUCCGGGUAACCGGAGUGCCACAGCGGGCAGGCGUCAUAAGGACAGGCCUCGGAGAGGAGAGGGGCUACCCGAGAAUGGCCUCAAAAGAUUGUCUGCCGUGGUGGCUUCUCACACAAGCCUGUACUUUCCUGUGGGAGAAUAUUUCCUAGGAGCCUAUAUUCCAGUUCAUCUCUGACGUCAUAAAUCAUGACUGUGUAGAAAGGCCAUAACAUGUGACACAUGGCAGCCAUUUUGGAGAUGGCCAGAUGAGAGGACAAUCAAUCCACAUGCCUAAAUGGAACCAACAGACAUGUGCCAGCUUGCUUCUCCAGCCUAUGUUCUCAGACACUUGUAGAAGACCAGAGGGAAAAUGGAAUCAGAAAAAACAGCAACAACAACAAAAAGCCAUCCAGGGCCAUGCACAGUGGCUCACUCCUGUAAUCCCAACAGUUUGGGAGGCCAAGGCAGGUGGAUUGCUUGAGCUCAGCAGUUUAAGACCAGCCUGGGCAACAUGGCGAAACCCUUUCUCUACUAAAUACAAAAACUAGCUGGGUGUGGUGGCAUGCACCUGUAGUCCCAGCUACUCGGGAGGCUGAGGUGGGAGGAUCACCUGAGCCUGGGAGGUUGAAGCUGCAGUGAGCUGUGAUGGUGCCACUGCACUCCCACCUGGGUGACAGAGCAAGACCCUGUCUCAAAAAAACAAAACUAAACAAAAAAAUCCAUGUGGGAAAAGGCCCAAUCAGAGCCAACUCACUGCUGGGAUUAGUAGAAAUGAUUAGUCACCAGAAGGCAAAUCGUGGAAGAAUGAAGAGAUGACAGGACCUCAGGAACUACACCCAGAGGUGUAGUUGUGCCGUAGGCAAAGCAUCAUGCCGGUCAUCCCCAAGAAAGGGAGAAGGGGUAGAGCUCAGACUCUUCCCUGCUUCCCCAUAAGUCCAGUUUACCCUGGGCUGAUCCUUUCAGCAUGGCAGCCUCCGUGGGGAGGCACGAGAUCCAAAGAUGAAGAUGUCUAUGGGGGUGAAGAAGAAUGGCAAACUUUGCAGGCAAGAGUAGGCAUUAGAGAGAUCAGAGGAGGAAGACAAUAGAGAAGGAUGACACAGGACAGGCUGUAUCUAGAGGAUAUAAUGCCAUGGACUUUGGACUAUUCCAGAGAGGCUGAGAGACCUGUCUCCUGCCUACAAGGCUCCUUGAACUCUGCACCCUUCUUUUUGCUAAAGUGCUGCUGAGGCCUGUCUCACUUCCCAAUGAAAAGCAACUCAGGAAAUUGGCUUCCUGCCCCACUCCUUCUUUGGGAGAGAGAAACAGAACUGAAGAGGAAGGAAGGAAGCCCAAAGAAACAGAGGCUUUCUUUCCUGGCUGAGAUUUGUUGGCACUGCCCACUAACAUAGAGAAUAAGGUGGUUCCCUAAGCGAGCCUUAAGCUGGC